rnacentral:tRNA from 1 species
GCGAUAUUAGUAUAGGUGGCAGUACGAUGCCUUCCCAAGGCAUAAGCACGAGUUCGAGUCUCGUAUAUCGCU